AUGCACGCUGGCGGCGUGCCUAAUACAUGCAGGUCGAGCGCACAGACGAGGAGCUUGCUCCUCUGACGUUAGCGGCGGACGGGUGAGUAACACGUGGAUAACCUACCUAUAAGACUGGGAUAACUUCGGGAAACCGGAGCUAAUACCGGAUAAUAUAUUGAACCGCAUGGUUCAAUAGUGAAAGACGGUUUUGCUGUCACUUAUAGAUGGAUCCGCGCCGCAUUAGCUAGUUGGUAAGGUAACGGCUUACCAAGGCAACGAUGCGUAGCCGACCUGAGAGGGUGAUCGGCCACACUGGAACUGAGACACGGUCCAGACUCCUACGGGAGGCAGCAGUAGGGAAUCUUCCGCAAUGGGCGAAAGCCUGACGGAGCAACGCCGCGUGAGUGAUGAAGGUCUUCGGAUCGUAAAACUCUGUUAUUAGGGAAGAACAAAUGUGUAAGUAACUAUGCACGUCUUGACGGUACCUAAUCAGAAAGCCACGGCUAACUACGUG
rnacentral:rRNA from 1 species